UCCAGAGCAGGACAAACACGCCAGGUGGUGU
rnacentral:piRNA from 1 species